UCGUCAGCUCGUGUCGUGAGAUGUUGGGUUAAGUCCCGCAACGAGCGCAACCCUUAUUAUCAGUUGCCAGCAUUCAGUUGGGCACUCUGGUGAGACUGCCGGUGACAAACCGGAGGAAGGUGGGGAUGACGUCAAAUCAUCAUGCCCCUUAUGACCUGGGCUACACACGUGCUACAAUGGACGGUACAACGAGUUGCGAAGUCGUGAGGCUAAGCUAAUCUCUUAAAGCCGUUCUCAGUUCGGAUUGUAGGCUGCAACUCGCCUACAUGAAGUUGGAAUCGCUAGUAAUCGCGGAUCAGCAUGCCGCGGUGAAUACGUUCCCGGGCCUUGUACACACCGCCCGUCACACCAUGAGAGUUUGUAACACCCAAAGCCGGUGAGAUAACCUUCGGGAGUCAGCCGUCUAAGGUGGGACAGAUGAUUAGGGUGAAGUCGUAACAAGGUAGCCGUAGGAGAACCUGCGGCUGGAUCACCUCCUUUCUAAGGAA
rnacentral:rRNA from 1 species